GGCCAGUCUCAUCUUGCGGUGGAGCUUUAAGAAAAAAUUUAGUCUUAAGUCUAGCUAAGAAUUUUAGAUUUCUUCUUCGUCGUCUCACCUUCCUCUUUCGGCCAAUUUUCCAGAAAACUAAAGCUUCCAUCAAUUCAUUGUAACAUUUCCACCUUCUAUUGAAAAUUCCUUAGUUCCGAGCUUUAAGUGAUUAACCCACUACUCCCACUCUGAAACAUUCAAUCGACCUCAUUGCAUCCCAAAGUAACCGACUGAACCUAGAUUAUAAAUACCCCAACUUCCAGCGACGAACAGCCAACUUCAAGAUCGAGUCCAAUUUGCCAUCUUCAACUUCGGGGUUUUCACCUUUAUCUGGAUAAAUUCUUUAUUUUGUGCUUAGUUUUUUUUUUCAAAUCUUUGAUUAGUAUAACUCGAUGGGUUUUGAUUACAUAUUAGUGUUUGUUUAUAAUUGGGUACGUUUCUGGAUCCUACCUUCAUAUGAUUCGAAGUUUCUGUAGAGUCACAACACCAAGACCCAUGUAGCUGCUGAGAAGAAACGGCUUGGGUUGCUUGAAGCUGAGAAGAAGGCACGUGCUCGCGUCCAGAAAGUACGCCAUAACUCUGUUUCUAAUCAGCGUGAGAUGGAGAGAAGUAAAAUGAGGGACAAACUUGAAGAUAAAUUGCACAGUGCAAAGAGACAUAUAUCAGAGUUUCUUCAUCAGAGAAGAAGACAGCGUGAUUCGAUUAGUAUCUACUGUGAUAUGCUGCAGCAAGAUGAUGAUCAUCUCUCUAGAAAGCUGUCAAGGUGUUGGAGGUGCUUUGUGAGUCAGAAGAAGACAACCUUGGACUUGGCUUAAGAUUAUGAUGCCUUGAAGAUUAAUGAGCCACUUCGGUUUUGAGCAACUCGUGGUGCUAACAAAGUCGCCUGCUACUCUUAAAGCUGUUAACUCUUUGCUUGACCACCUUCAAGUUCGGUUAUAAAAUUAUUGCCAUUGCUCUCCUACUCUGCUCCCUUUGCAAUAUAUCAUCAAUAAUAAAAGCCUCUGUCAACAUAAUGCACAACCUUCAGAAAGGAAAUCUGGGCAUCAAUUUGCAAAGAACAUCACCGUGGCUAGGGAAUAUCAGCUGCUUGCAUCAACAACUCACCCUCACAUACAGAUGAGCUCUUUUGGAAGCUACGUUCUAUGCGGCAUCAAAAUCUAUACCCUUGAUUCUUAUCUCCAGACCUCAUUCUUCUCUUAUCAUUUUCAAUUACGUACUGAGGUUUGUUGUUUGAUAUAUAUUUUCAAAAGGUAUUUGUAUUUUCUUACUGUUGAGAUAUAUACGGUUACACAUUCAUGUUUAUUUCAAGCUGACAUAUUCUUCCGCCA